UACGUAGGGUGCAAGCGUUGUCCGGACUUAUUGGGCGUGAAGAGCUCGUAGGUGGCCUGUCGCGUCGGCUGUGAAAACUCGGGGCUCAACUCCGAGCUUGCAGUCGAUACGGGCAGGCUAGAGUUCGGCAGGGGAGACUGGAAUUCCUGGUGUAGCGGUGAAAUGCGCAGAUAUCAGGAGGAACACCAAUAGCGAAGGCAGCUCGCUGGGACGUUACUGACACUGAGGCGCGAAAGCGUGGGGAGCGAACAGG
rnacentral:rRNA from 1 species